rnacentral:ncRNA from 1 species
CAGGUGCCUGCCCUGUGAUGGGGCGGGUGAAACGGGAAGUCGGUUCAAGUCCGACACUGCCCCCGCAACGGUAAGAAGUCGCAGGCCAAGCCUGCAGCCGCAAUCAACCGCCACUGUCUCCACGGGAAGGCGAUUGCGACCGACUUCAAGUCCGGAGACCGGCCUGCCG